GGAGAUACCCAUCCACCAGAGGUAUGAUAGAUAACUCUGGUUUUCCUUGGGUGCCAAUAGCAGAGAGUUCACAAUAAUAAGAGGGUGUGAUCAAUGUCCAUUAUAUGUAAUCCGCAAGUAUAAUUUGCUUUAUCAUCAUUUUUAGUAUCUUUAUUCUCCUCAGUUUUCCCCACUUUAAUUGCUAUAUUUGGAGACUACCACUACUCUUCUCCCCUCCUAUUUGGAUAUGAACAAAUACCAAGCUACUCCAUAAAUUUGGAUUGGUAUUAAUGGUUAAUUGGGCAGUAGAACCAUGCAGAUGCCUUAAUGGAAUACUCAUGAUUUGAUUUUUCUGUGUUUUAUAAUUG
rnacentral:misc_RNA from 1 species